rnacentral:lncRNA from 1 species
CUCAGCCUUAUCAGCUCGCCAUCAUUCUCACCUGGGUCAUCUUGUUCCGCAUUCUCUGGGUCCUUGCGGCCAUUCUUCUGGCCCGGAGUUUUGUCUCCCUGUUGUGUCCCCUUGUCUGUUGUCUUGUGUGUCACGGGUGUCUGGGUGUAUUUGGGUCGGAGCUGCUCUGCCCUGCUGCAGAGGCUGGCUGUAGGUGUAAAUGGACAAAUCCUGGGUAGCUGUAAUUAGGGAUUUGUAAUUAGAGAUCUGUAAUGUAGAAUGCAGUUGGAGUCUAGAUAGUAUGCCUAGAUUGACAGAAGAUGUCAGGAGCUGUGAAGUUAUCCUGCAGCACUUUGAGUUGUGUCUUUGCUUUCUUUCAGAUGCGGAUGGAUGAAAUCCGUGGCAGAGGGCCCCAUCCAGGGUAAGGGUGUUCCCGCGAGAAGGAUGUAAAGCCAGCUAUCCACGGUCAGGGCGAAGUCGGCAAGGCGGUCCAGGCACCUUUUACCGAGACCCCCUCGCCGACUGGCCGGCAGGCCUGGUUCGCCGCUCCCGUGAGCCCUGCGGAAGCGUUAAGGGACCGCGUGCUGAAGCCUUGGUGUUUUCCACGUGACGGUGCCAUCCGGGCAGCUUUUAGCAACAGCCGAGGGGUUGCCGUGAGUUGGGGAUGUCGGAAGGAGGAGCGAGGGCCCGCUCGAGUUUCGGCAGUGACAGAUCAACUUGUCUCCUCCUAACGCAGGCGUGCCCCGCGAUGAUGGCAUCUGGCUCCGGGCGUGGCCGAAGCGUGCGGCCCUGGGAUGCGGGCGUUCUCGAGAGACCCUCAUCAAGAGACAGCAGCAUGGUGACGGCAGGAACUGGGCAGACGACGAGACGGCAUUCCUUGGCAGCCCGUGUGGACUCUCACCCCCCGGGCGUCCGAGAGCUAACUCAAAGGCUACGAUCCGCAGAGGGGGGAUGGAAGCGGGGUGCCGGGCUGGGACUCGUGGCCAGGAAGUUUUGAGUCAGCUUUGGAUGAAGCGAGGUUCAAGAAGUGGCCCUUUAGGCCACCUCAAGGGAAAGCCUCACUUUGGCUCCCAAUGCCGAGGUGCACAGGGCAGAGCGGUCCGGGGAUGUGUCGGGUCACUUGUCUGUCGUGCCUUUUGUGCACCUCGUGUCGUAUGUGUCUUGCCUUAGCCCUUCCAGGACGUUACAGGAAACCCUGGCGUCACUCUUAACAUCUCUGAUCUCUUGGCUCCUCGGCCUGGCGCUGACACUGUCAGAGCUGUGCCUCGGGACCUCUCAGAGGCCUUGGAAUCCCAUCUCUGUUUUUAAGCGUCCGAUCGGGUGUCUUUAGAGGUCUUGUUCUGAGCUGUGUCCACAGCCGUGCGCCGCAAGGAUCCAUUGUAGCGGGCUAGGACUUGUCCGAAUGCAAGGACAGGUAGAGAAUUGUGGCCGUAGGAUUCUCGGCCAUCCGUAUUUGCGCUUCUCGGGAUAAGUCAUCGUGUCAGCAUCUUCUUUCUUCAGGGCUGCCUCGGCCUUAUCAGCUCGCCAUCAUUCUCACCUGGGUCAUCUUGUGCCGCAUUCUCUCGGUCCUUGCGGCCAUUCUUCUGGCCCGGAGUUUUGUCUCCCUGUUGUGUCCCCUGGUCUGUUGUCUUGUGUGUCACGGGUGUCUGGGUGUAUUUGGGUCGGAGCUGCUCUGCCCUGCUGCAGAGGCUGGCCUAUGGUCAGCUGCCAUGGGAGAGGCUUCAUAUUAAACCAACUGCUGAAUGAUUUAAUUAGUCUGGUACCUACGGCUUCUGAUCAUUUGCUUUGUACAAAUGCAUUUCAACAGUUUGCUGUGCUGUAAGCAUCUCAUAGCUGCUACUCUUGAGAACCUUGUUUUAGAAAUUAGUUAAAAGGCAUCUUUCCAGUUUAAAGCCUAGGCUCUGUCCAAGCCUUGACUUUACCUGGAUAGAGAAUUUACCAAUAAACCCAGAAGUUUUCUGCA